CCUACGGGCGGCUGCAGUGGGGAAUUUUCGGCAAUGGACGCAAGUCUGACCGAGCAAUGCCGCGUGAACGAUGAAGGUCUUCGGAUUGUAAAGUUCUGUUGUUAGGGAAGAAAAAAAUGACGGUACCUAACUAGAAAGUCCCGGCUAACUAUGUGCCAGCAGCCGCGGUAAUACAUAGGGGACAAGCGUUAUCCGGAAUUAUUGGGCGUAAAGAGUGCGUAGGCGGUUUAUUAAGUCUGGUGUGAAAUUUCAUGGCUUAACCAUGAAGGGUCAUUGGAAACUGGUAAACUUGAGUACGGUAGAGGUAAGUGGAAUUCCAAGUGGAGCGGUGGAAUGCGUAGAUAUUUGGAGGAACACCAAUGGCGAAGGCAGCUUACUGGGCCGAAACUGACGCUGAUGCACGAAAGCGUGGGGAGCAAACAGGCUUAGAUACCCCGGUAGUC
rnacentral:rRNA from 1 species